UACGUAGGGGGCGAGCGUUGUCCGGAUUCAUUGGGCGUAAAGCGCUUUAAGGCGGUUCGGUAAGUCGGGUGUGAAACCUCCAGGCUCAACCUGGAGACGCCACUCGAUACUGCUGUGACUAGAGUUCGGUAGGGGAUCACGGAAUUCCUGGUGUAGCGGUGAAAUGCGCAGAUAUCAGGAGGAACACCAAUGGCGAAGGCAGCUCACUGGGACGGUAUUGACGCUGAGACGCGAAAGCGUGGGGAGCAAACAGG
rnacentral:rRNA from 1 species